GACGAACGCUGGCGGCGUGCUUAACACAUGCAAGUCGAGCGAGGCCCCUCCUUCGGGAGGGUGUCCUAGCGGCGAACGGGUGAGUAACACGUGGGCAACCUGCCCUCAGCUCUGGGAUAACUCCGGGAAACCGGGGCUAAUACCGGAUACGACCUCCACGGGCAUCUGCGGAGGUGGAGAGUUUUUCGGCUGAGGAUGGGCCCGCGGCCUAUCAGCUAGUUGGUGGGGUAGUGGCCCACCAAGGCGACGACGGGUAGCCGGCCUGAGAGGGCGACCGGCCACACUGGGACUGAGACACGGCCCAGACUCCUACGGGAGGCAGCAGUGGGGAAUAUUGCGCAAUGGGCGAAAGCCUGACGCAGCGACGCCGCGUGAGGGACGAAGGCCUUCGGGUUGUAAACCUCUUUCAGCAGGGACGAAGCGAAAGUGACGGUACCUGCAGAAGAAGCACCGGCCAACUACGUG
rnacentral:rRNA from 1 species